GGCAACCCUGAUCCAGCCACGCCGCGUGGGUGAUGGAGGCCUUCGGGUCGUAAAGCCCUGUCAGAGGGGAAGAAACGGUCUUAAGUGAAUAACUUCGGGCCUUGACGGUACCCUCAAAGGAAGCAUCGGCUAACUACGUGCCAGCAGCCGCGGUAAGACGUAGGAUGCAAGCGUUGCUCGGAAUCACUGGGCGUAAAGGGCGUGUAGGCGGCUUAGCAAGUGGGAUGUGAAAGCCCCGGGCUCAACCCGGGAAGUGCAUUUCAAACUGCUUUGCUUGAGUCCGGAAGAGGGUGGUAGAAUUCCAGGUGGAACGGUGAAAUGUGUAGAUAUCUGGAGGAAUACCUGCGGCGAAGGCGGCCACCUGGUCCGGAACUGACGCUAAAAUGCUAAAGCGUGGGGAGCAAACAGGAUUAGAUACCCUGGUAGUCCACGCCCUAAACGGUGAGUACUCGGUGUUGGGGGUAUUGACCCCCUCAGUGCCUUAGCUAACGCGUUAAGUACUCCGCCUGGGGAC
rnacentral:rRNA from 1 species